GAUGAACGCUGGCGGCGUGCCUAAUACAUGCAAGUCGAGCGAACGGACGAGAAGCUUGCUUCUCUGAUGUUAGCGGCGGACGGGUGAGUAAAACGUGGAUAACAUACCUAUAAGACUGGGAUAACUUCGGGAAACCGUAGCUAAUACCGGAUAAUAUUUUGAACCGCAUGGUUCAAAAGUGAAAGACGGUCUUGCUGUCACUUAUAGAUGGAUCCGCGCUGCAUUAGCUAGUUGGUAAGGUAGCGGCUUACCAAGGCAACGAGGGUUAGCCGACCCGAGAGGGGGAUCCGCCACACUGUAGCUGAGACACGGUCCAGACUCCGACGGUAGGCAGCAGCAGGGACUCCUCCGCAAUGGGCCAGUGCCUGACGGUGCAACGUCGCGUGAGGGCUGAAGGUCCUCUGAUCCUAAAACUCUGUUAGUAGGGAAGUACAUAUGUGUAAGUAACUGGGCACAUCUUGACGGUACCUAAUCAGAAAGCCCCGGCUAACUUCGUG
rnacentral:rRNA from 1 species